CCACCAACUCUUGGGGUUUGUCUGCGCUGUUUCGUUUGCAGUUCAUCCUGACUGAGUGAUCUCAGCUGGCUCCCACAGGCAGCAUUAUCACAGGGGGGUG